CUGGCCUGGUCUCUCAAAGCCUGGAAAUACUUUCAGCAUUCUCUAAACUCAAAGAAGAGUCCUAGCUCUCUGUAUAUUUUGCCCGUAGACUAUCGAUAAUUACUCUCUGCACAUCAUAGACAGUUCCUUUUUAGGGAUCUGGUCACUAGUUCCAAAUCCCCCUUCCUCUCUCUUUUAAAAAAAAGAAACGCAAACAGGGUUGCUCUUAAUUUUCAGGUAAGGGGAUCCUAUUGGCUGACGAACGGGGCAAGAAUAUCAAAGGCUGAUGCAGGUAAAAUAAUAUAAUAUCCCAGCACUUUGGGAGGCCUAGGCGGGUGGAUCACGAGGCCAAGAGAUCAAGACCAUCCUGAUCAACAAGGUGAAACCCUGUCUCUACUAAAAAUACAAAAAUUAGCUGCGCACGGUGGUACAUGACUGUAACCCCAGCUACUCGGGAGGCUGAGGCAGGAGAAUUGCUUGAACCCAGAAGGAGGAGGUUGCGGUGAGCCGAGAUCGUGCCAUUGCACUCCAGUCUGGGUAACAACAGCGAAACUCCGUCUCAAUAAAUAAAUAAAUAAAUAAUGUAAUAAAUAAUAUAAAAAACAUGAAGCUGCCUUAGAGAUUAAUGUGAUUGUUAUCUAAGGGGUUGUCUCCUGAUAAUAGUUUUAUUAACUUCUUAUUUGUCAAUAGCCUCUCUCCAGCCAGCAGUUAAGGUCUUUGAGAGCAGGGGAUUUUGACUUGUUUGUAUUCCCCACAGUGACCAGAAAACUGUCUUACAAAUAUACAUAAUAAUAUUCUGUUGAUUUUCUUCAAAGUAAUAGCAUCAGGCAGAGUUUAGUAGCUGUCAGUUUUGGGAAAAAUUGAAAGAAUGCCUGUGCAUAAUGAAGGUCAUCCCCCCAAUACACAUUCAGGGCAGGGAGGGAAGAAAGGGUUGAACUCUGCAAAUGUUUAAUUUGUGUCAGGAUCGGGUAGCCUCUAUCAAUGUAAUUUAAUGCAAAGUCAGAUUGGUGUCUGAACACUGAAUAAUUCAUACAUAGCUUACAUAAAUAUGCUUCUAUUUGUGCCACCUCAUUCACAUUUAGUCUAACUUGAGUUUUGGUCUUUAACCCUUAAAAAGAUGCCUCUCAAAUUAAGCAUAAAUAUGUUAUUUCCAUAGGAAAAGAUUUGCCAUGUCAUCUUGUGAUCGUACAUUUAGCUAGAUUGUAUAUCGGUGACUGAAUGUGUUCAACAAUAUCAUUGCUUUAUAGUUAUCUUAUAUAACCUUUAUAUAAUAAAUUAGAGGCAAUUUGCUGCUGACCUGGGAAGAAAUAAAAAUGAUGUUUAUUACAAAAAGUCUUGUAAUGUUUAAAAAUAUUUCCUGUCUACAUUCUCCCCAUUCUAAGAUCUUAAUUGAGA
rnacentral:lncRNA from 1 species